rnacentral:lncRNA from 1 species
CUUCAAACAGCAACAGCCCCUGCUUCACUUACACCUCCCAAGUUCUAUACAAAUACCUUUUUUAACCAAUUCUAAUGCAGAACCAUACAGAGAAGAGGCAUCUGGGAACACUGCUCUAGUUUAACCAAGUUGAAAAUAGAAUGGUUCAGCACACUAUUCAAGACUAUUGUUUAUUUCUCUAUUCAUUCACGUCCCCUUUUAUACCAUUCAGUGCUGUUUUAUAAGUUAGUUUAUAUAACUCUGUAUUUUAGUCAUGUGUGUUUCAUGUGGUUUUGUUAUCUUUAUUGCUUUCGUCAAUGACUUUUUCUUCCAAAUUUUUUGCUUGUUAUGUAAUGCUUUUCAGAGUACAUUUAUAACUAGGCAGGUUAUUUAAAUAAUUAUCAUAGCCUUUCCAACAAUAUAAUUGUAUUUUCUAGGCAGAAAAUCAUAAGUACUCUUUCUUCUUUCCAAAAUUUAUAACUCUGAGUUUUCCAAGUUUAGAUACACUGGUUAGCACUGCCAAAGAGGCGCUGUUCUUGAGAUUUAUCCUCUAGAUGGCCCUGAUUAUCUUAGAUGCACAAAAAUAAAUUUAUUAAAGAACUCUGAGUGCCACACUACUGCUUGAGAUUCUGAACUCAAUGCUGAUAUAGUAUGAUCUGUGAAUUUAAAUGCCCAGUUUUCUGACUAAUGCUGCUCAGGCCCUGGGAGUAUAAAUGAGAAAUGCUUUUCUCCAACAUCUGCUUGAUGUCCUUGAAACAAAAGUCAACCAGACCUUCUGGGUUUGUGCUGUUGUGAAGGUUUAGGGUUUAUGCCAUUGCCAACCUUGGUGAUGGACAGUGCUUUGGAAGGAAAGGAGGCUUUGAACAAAGUAGGCUCUUGGUCA